GAUAUUUGGUCAUGCGCUGGAAGACUCACAUUUGAAGUCUUCCCUUGUCCAUUCGUUGUCUGUCUGCAUAUCUCUGCUUGAUCCUAAACGAUCAAUUCCAUCAACUAUGAUGUAUUCUUUCCGGAACCAGCACGUUUAUGAGUCUCCCGUGCAUGCCAAUCCUGACACUAUUGAUGCAAUGCUUCCUAAACUUAGUAAGUUUUCUGAUUGUGGAAGUUUGUACGGUGGUUUAUGAGUCUCCCGUUCAUGCCAAUCCUGACACUAUUGAUGCAAUGCUUCCUAAACUUAGUAAGUUUUCCAAUUGUGGAAGUUCGUACGGUUUUUGAGUUAUUGAAUACUUGUUUAACUGUGUCCUACCAUUUAGAGGUCAAUUUCAAGUUCUCUAUUGGAGACCAGCUGGUAGAGAAUUGUAAAAAAUGCAAUGCCUCUACAAAGUGAUUCUGUAUU
rnacentral:lncRNA from 1 species